rnacentral:rRNA from 1 species
GUCCACGCCGUAAACGAUGGAUGCUAGCCGUCGGCAAGCUUGCUUGUCGGUGGCGCAGCUAACGCAUUAAGCAUCCCGCCUGGGGAGUACGGCCGCAAGGUUAAAACUCAAAGGAAUUGACGGGGGCCCGCACAAGCGGUGGAGCAUGUGGUUUAAUUUCGACGCAACGCGAAGAACCUUACCAAGCCUUGACAUGUCCGGACGACCUUUGGAAACGGAGGUCUCCCAGCAAUGGGUCGGAACACAGGUGCUGCAUGGCUGUCGU